UGUACUUAUUUCCAUCUACAGUUAAAGAGCUGCAAGCAGAAGUAUGCAAGCAAAAGUAUAGGAUGGUGGGAAUAGCUGAUUGUACCAAAUGAUUCAAACUAUCCAUCAACAGGAAAAUCCUUGAAUUAAUACAGAUACUUUUAGUGCAAGUGGUACCAAUCCAAACCAAAGUAGCUUAAGUAGAAAGAGGAUUCAUUGGCUCAUAUAACUGGGAGGCUAACUUCAGCCACAACUCAAUUCAGGGACUCAAACAAAAUUGUUCAGAUUCUGCUCCUCUCUCUGGGCCCUGCUUCCUUUUGAGCUGCACUAAUCCUCUCCUACUGCACCCUACCUUUUUCUAUGGGUCAGUGACUGCUCCAGCUGCAAUAAACACCCUUCCUGCUCUGCUAUGCCUUUAGACAUGGCCAUGUGUUUCAUGGCCAAAUUGAAAAACUACGAGAGAAGAACUCCUUGUGGCCCAGCUUAGGUCAUAUGCUCCUUCCUGAACCAAUUACAGUGCCCAGGGGAAUGGGGUACUAGGAGUGGCCAGGCCAGAAAGUUAUUUUGUUAGCUGGUUCACUAGAAUCAUUUCAUCAGAGA
rnacentral:lncRNA from 1 species